rnacentral:rRNA from 1 species
GAUGAACGCUAGCUACAGGCUUAACACAUGCAAGUCGAGGGGCAGCAUGAACAAAGCUUGCUUUGUUUGAUGGCGACCGGCGCACGGGUGCGUAACACGUAUCCAAUCUGCCCGCGGCUCGGGGAUAGCCCAUCGAAAGAUGGAUUAAUACCCGAUGGCGUGGUCACUCCGCAUGGAGUUUCUACUAACGGUUUUCCGGCCGCGGAUGAGGAUGCGUAUGAUUAGGUAGUAGGCGGGGUAACGGCCCACCUAGCCUUCGAUCAUUAGGGGUUCUGAGAGGAAGGUCCCCCACACUGGAACUGAGACACGGUCCAGACUCCUACGGGAGGCAGCAGUGAGGAAUAUUGGUCAAUGGGCGAGAGCCUGAACCAGCCAAGUAGCGUGAAGGAAGACUGCCCUAUGGGUUGUAAACUUCUUUUGUUCGGGAAUAAAGUGCAGUACGCGUACUGUUUUGUAUGUACCGUUCGAAUAAGCAUCGGCUAAUUCCGUGCCAGCCGCCGCAGUAAGAC